GCUGGCGGCGUGCCUAACACAUGCAAGUCGUACGAGAAAUCCCGAGCUUGCUUGGGAGACUAAAGUGGCGCACGGGUGAGUAACGCGUGGGUAACCCACCUUCGAAUCUGGGAUAACUCCGCGAAAGCGGUGCUAAUACCGGAUAAGACCACAGCCGCUUCGGCGGCAGAGGUUAAAGCUGACCUCUCCAUGGAAGUUAGCGUUCGAGGACGGGCCCGCGUCCUAUCAGCUUGUUGGUGGGGUAAAGGCCUACCAAGGCAGCGACGGGUAGCUGGUCUGAGAGGAUGAUCAGCCACACUGGAACUGGAACACGGUCCAGACUCCUACGGGAGGCAGCAGUGAGGAAUUUUGCGCAAUGGGCGAAAGCCUGACGCAGCAACGCCGCGUGGGUGAAGAAGGCUUUCGGGUCGUAAAGCCCUGUCAGGUGGGAAGAAACUCUUCA
rnacentral:rRNA from 1 species